rnacentral:lncRNA from 1 species
UUGUUCUAAUCGUCAACAACGUAACUUCCCUUUACUGCUCUCUCACGUGUAUCAUGACGAAGACAAUGUGCCUUUUUCCAUAGGUCUCUAACAACGCAGCAGUUUCCCGUGCUCAUCUCGUUAUUUAUGGCAAGUAAUCCGCCGCUCCAAAACCUCCCAUCACAUCCAACAGCUUAUAAGUUUUCAAUAAACACAAUACUCAAGGAGACGAAGAAGAAUUAAACAACACAUCAUUCAGUUUGGACGUAGCAAAGUUAUUUGUGUUGUGAAACAUCCCUGUAAAUGUUCUGGAUCAUCCCAAUUUCUCCAAGUGUAUUAAAAAAUAUACUUGAAAAACUACCUCAGGUUGAUGGGUCGUUAACAACUGGGUCGGCGAUGUAUGUCAAUAGUGUAUGAGCAAACUAAAAAAUAUAUAUUAUCCGCCAGGGGUGAGACUCACUGUAGCUUGGGCUAAUAUCAGGCUAGAUUGCUAAAGACCGCUUGUAUUUUUUAAGAUUACGUCAACUGUUGUCUGAUACCAAUGUAUAUUUUAGCUAUUUUAAUAAUAUUACAUCUUUACAAGUUGUAAUAUUGAGGUAUUUGUAUGUGGUAAUAAGACAAUUAUUAAUUAUAUUAUAAUUUAUACCAUUGAAUUCUUGGAUAAGGAAUGGAAGACUCUAUCAACCAUUCCAAACAAGUCUACCAAGUAGGAUUAAUUUUCAAUUCACGGAGGAAAUUUGACUACACUGUUUAAGUAUAAGUUCAUCCAAGUAAUUGGAAAACUUUUGUCGCGCCUGGAUGCUUUAGUGGCUACCUGCUAACAAAGUAAGAGAAGAAGGAUCCUCCUUCGGCCAAAAAACGUUUCCAUAUAUUUCCAAAAGAUAAGGAAUGACCAAGUAUUUGGAUCAAAGCUCUCUCUUUUAACAAUUAGCCAUUAGAAGCCUUCAAAAUAUUCUGCUAUGUGUGACUAGCAUUUUUUAUUUCACUCAAAUUUGUAUGAAGUCUUUCUCUAGCUAGUAGGUAGUAUUCUUUGGUCGGAUAAUAAUAAUUAUUAUACAAGGAGGUUUAUUAUUUUUCCACAAUGUGACGCUAAUCACUGGUGAUGUGUUUACAAACGAAUAUAAGUAAACAACGUACAUGCCCUAUUAGUAAAGUUGAUCAUAUUGUAG